AUCAGAUCACACUAGUCGUGCUCUACCGUUUAACUCGCUGAGAACAAAUGCCAGCGUUUUACGGAUACAAAUCCACAUAGCAAAUAAGAUUUUAUCUGAGGACAUGCUUUGAUCUACGAGACCCAGAAAGUGGCCUUCCUCACACCACCAGCUGUGAUGUCAGCUUUCAAGGCUUCUUCUAGAAGCAGGAUACUACUGUGAGACCUCUGCUGGCAUGGACUUGAUGGCAUAUUGUUUUCCACUUGUAGAGAACACUGUAUUUAAUGUUGUGUUCUUGGUUUAGACACUGCUCACAGUUAGGGAGAGGUGAAAGUUACAGCUCUGUAUUUGGAAUGGCACUAAUGUCUUCCUGCAGCAAUGUUCACAAGUCUACCUUCUAUGUUCAUUGCAUGUUUUUGCAACAGUAUGCAUAAUACUGUGUAUUUAAGCAUUCAUUCUCUCUUAAGCUUUUGACAAAGGCGCACUCAUAACAUCUGUGUGUGUGUGUGUGUGUGAAGACACAUAAUAUCUCUUUGUGUGGUCUGAUGAAGAUAAAUAAACACGUGUGACCCAAAUUUAAUCUCCUACUUUCUUCUCUUCUCCUUGACGUCAACACUUGUGAUUUCAACUGUAGGUGCUUUUCAUAUGUCAUUCCAGACAAAGGACAAAAGGUGCCACUGUAUAAU